GGCUACGAACUUAACUCCAACCCAAUGUGAACGUUACCAAACUGUUGCCUCGGCGGGAUCUCUGCCCCGGGUGCGUCGCAGCCCCGGACCAAGGCGCCCGCCGGAGGACCAACCAAAACUCUUAUUGUAUACCCCCUCGCGGGUUUUUUUUAUAAUCUGAGCCUUCUCGGCGCCUCUCGUAGGCGUUUCGAAAAUGAAUCAAAACUUUCAACAACGGAUCUCUUGGUUCUGGCAUCGAUGAAGAACGCAGCGAAAUGCGAUAAGUAAUGUGAAUUGCAGAAUUCAGUGAAUCAUCGAAUCUUUGAACGCACAUUGCGCCCGCCAGUAUUCUGGCGGGCAUGCCUGUCCGAGCGUCAUUUCAACCCUCGAACCCCUCCGGGGGGUCGGCGUUGGGGAUCGGCCCUGCCUUGGCGGUGGCCGUCUCCGAAAUACAGUGGCGGUCUCGCCGCAGCCUCUCCUGCGCAGUAGUUUGCACACUCGCAUCGGGAGCGCGGCGCGUCCACAGCCGUUAAACACCCAACUUCUGAAAUGUUGACCUCGGAUCAGGUAGGAAUACCCGCUGAACUUAAGCAUAUCAAUAAGCCGGAAGAA
rnacentral:rRNA from 1 species